UAAACUUCAAGAGGAAAGUUCGAGAAUAGUUAUUGAAUUAGUGAAAUGUACAGUUACUAGUUGAUAUUAGUUGAGAAAAAUUAAGUGAAACGAACUGUGAAGUGAAUCGUCAGGUAAUUAAUAAAAUUUAUGCCAACGAAAGGAUGAAAGACAUGAACUAAGUCGAGGUGUAGAUAAUAAGGUGGCAAUGUGCUAACCUGAGAAACUAGAAAUG
rnacentral:lncRNA from 1 species